rnacentral:rRNA from 1 species
GACGUAGGGCGCGAGCGUUGUCCGGAUUUAUUGGGCGUAAAGAGCUCGUAGGCGGUCUGUCACGUCGGCUGUGAAAACCCGGGGCUCAACCCCGGGCCUGCAGUCGAUACGGGCAGACUAGAGUGCGGUAGGGGAGACUGGAAUUCCUGGUGUAGCGGUGAAAUGCGCAGAUAUCAGGAGGAACACCGGUGGCGAAGGCGGGUCUCUGGGCCGUAACUGACGCUGAGGAGCGAAAGCGUGGGGAGCGAACAGG